AUUAAUUUAUAAAAUCUUUGUUGUAUUCAAAGAUUCAACCUGCAAUUUUUCCUUCAAUUCUAAAAAGAUAAAAUUGUAGGUUGUAAUCACUGAAUAUAAUAAACUGCUUUUUCAGAACAAA
rnacentral:precursor_RNA from 15 species